UUCCCAGUUUUAGAAAUGGAAGAGAACUUAUCUCAUAUGAGUUAAGCUUGUUUGGCUCUGGUUUCAUAAAAUCUGCCCUUAGCUAACCAGCCCAAGGCUGGCACCAACGGCUGGACAGAAUGACUGUUUGCUCUAGAAGCAGGAGUGAUUAAAAAACACGUUGUUUCACACACAUCUGCACAAAUAUACACCACAAACCACAUGCCUUUCUUUUCAUUCUAAACUAUGGAGUGAAAUCAUAACCUCACAUUGACACCAGGAGUGAUUUGUCUUCUCUUGCAAGAACAAAUAAUUUUACCACAAAUGCAUAUUUAUAUUCCCUGCGUGUCUUCCUUGUUUUCUCCUUUAUUUUCCAGUUAUACAUUUUAGAAACUGAGAUGGAGAUUUAAAAAUAAAAAAUUAAAUGAGAAAAUAAAAACUCUUCAUUGCUUGAGUCCAAAAUGCUUCCAGCCCCUGAUAGGCUAAUGGAUGAUAUUGUUACAGUUCAACAAACAUGUAUGUCAUUGUGACAUAAUAACUAAAGGUGAUUUCUCUUCCGCUGGUCCAGGGCAGGUGACACCAAAGGUGGGCUAACCACAGGGAAAGACUGCCAUCUGCUGGAUUGUAAGAGAAGGGAAAAGAAAAAAUGUCAAGUCUAUAAAUGCUCACAGUUAACCAUUCUAGAGUCCAUCCAUGUCUACAAUCUGUAACAUAUCAAUGUUGCUAUCAAUCCUUGGGAAUAGAAGGCUGGCAGAGUGUAACAGGCAGAGUACAAUGUGUGAUGCUGUGCUGCUACAUUCUGCUCAGAGAUCCUAGAAGCUUGCGCUGAUGCUGAGUCUCCAGCAGCCUAGGUCAGAGGCUCUGAUUACAAAACCCAGAGCCCCUGCCCCUGCCUUGUACCCUCUUGAAUCAGGAGUAAAAAGUAAAUAUGUAUUGUUAUUAAGCCAGUGAAAUUUGGGGAUUGUUUGUAUUUGCAGCAUAACCCAGCCAAUCCUGAUGGAAACAAAGGGUUAGUUAAACGUAAAAUAAAUAAGGUAACGCAU
rnacentral:lncRNA from 1 species